rnacentral:misc_RNA from 1 species
GAUGAAGAACGUAGCGAAAUGCGAUAAGUAGUGUGAAUAGCAGAAUUCCGUGAAUCAUCGAAUCUUUGAACGCACAUUGCGCCUUCUGGUAUUCCGGAAGGCAUGCCUGUUCGAGAGUCAUUAACAACCGUUUCGAUCCCUUUCUUUCAGAAAUUACAAAGAGGAAAAGGGUUUGGUUAUGGUGGAGGAGGGAAAGGGAGCGUUUAGCCUGUAAAAAAAGAGGCUGUGUUCCGCCUCCCCCCCAAAAUUGUACAGGCGGUCGUGUGCGCCCACGCAUCGAGGUGUUGUAAAAGCUGCCACGGCACUUUUCACCUGUGCAGUGCGAGAUUGGCCAGCCGGUUUAAAAACCCCUCCAAACAAUCAAAGGUUGACCUCGGAUCAGGUAGGGAUACCCGCUGAACUUAAGCAUAUCAAUAAGCGGAGGA